CCGAACAGAGAAGUUAAGCCCCUCAUGGCCGAUGGUACUGCACUAUCAUGCGGGAGAGUAGGUAGCUGCCAUAC
rnacentral:rRNA from 1 species